rnacentral:misc_RNA from 1 species
UGAACUCACUAAUUUCUGGCCUUCAGACUCUAAGAAGCACCUUAAGGCAGCCAAUCGGUUACUUAGUGAAGGCACUUACCAAUUUCACUCAUAUGUGAUAGCUAAGCAGUUGAUUAUAAUGCAAGAGAAAUCCUUUGGCCAUGUAUGUUCAAGGGUUCAAGGCCCACACGUAUUAAAAAAUGAAGCAGAAAGUUUCAAAGUUAUGAAACCAUUAAAAGUGCCUUGGAGCAAUCGGUGAACAUCUCACAAAGAGAGCAAGUGAUUACUAUUAAAGGCAAGCCUAAAACAUGCAAUUGGCAUGAGGAAGGGGCCCUUUGGACGUGGAAAAACUAGGGUUAAGUAAUUGGAGCGAUUAGAAAUCGAUAUGAAGGAGAGUUAAGACUUAGAAUCCUCAACAAUGCCUAAAAGUGACCAAGAAGUUAAGCUAGGGGGAAACGGAUAAUUG